rnacentral:lncRNA from 1 species
ACUUUAAAGGAGAUUUGUUUUGUUUUUAAUGUGGUUUGGUAAGUGACUUAGUUGCUUGAAAUUGGUUAAGUCUAUGGACUUUAAAGAGGAUUUUUUUUCUUUAAAUGUGGUUGGGUAGCUGACUUAGUUGCUUUAAAAUGGUUAAGUCUAGGAACUUUAAAGGAGAUUAUUUUGUUUUGAAUGUGGUUUGGUAGGUGACUUAC